rnacentral:rRNA from 1 species
UACGUAGGGAGCAAGCGUUUGUCCGGAAUCAUUGGGCGUAAAGCGCGCGUAGGCGGCCCGGUAAGUCCGUUGUAAAAGUCAAAGGCUCAACCUUUGAAAGCCGAUGGAUACUGCCGGGCUAGAGUCCGGAAGAGGCGAGUGGAAUUCCUGGUGUAGCGGUGAAAUGCGCAGAUAUCAGGAGGAACACCGAUGGCGAAGGCAGCUCGCUGGGACGGUACUGACGCUGAGGCGCGAAAGCGUGGGGAGCAAACAGG